ensembl:lncRNA
CACAGUCUAUGGUAAAUGUUUGGCUAAGGAUAUUUUAAGACUGUGGAGGACACCUGAUGGCAAAUCUGACUGCUGAUGGGAGGGAAGAGAAGAGCCUGCUUGAGCCCGAGACAAACAAGUUGUGUGUGUGGAGCCUGCUCUGCACUGCUAAGUGUUUCCUGGGUGGCAAAAAACAGUUCUCCAGAAUUAAGAGCAUGGACCUUCACCCAUAUCCCCAGAGGGUAGUACUUUCAUCCCCAGAGGGCAUGACUUUCCUUGUGUUGCUGCAUUAUGUGGCUGGGGGCCUGGAAGGUGGCGAGUGCUGUAGGGACAGGCCAGCUGGUGCAUGAUAACGAGCCAGCGCACCUUCUGCUUGUAUGACUUGGUAUGCCACCACUGUGUCUUAAUACUGCUAAAUACUGCUUUUGUGUGUAAUUGAAGCUUUAGCUGUGAGAUUAACAACACCAGCCCUAGAAUAUCAUUUUAUAUAAUCAGGAUAGCAUAGUAUAAUAUUCCUUCAGCUGGUUUUCAUCCCAUUCAAUUGCCAGUCUCAGGACAAACUCAUUUAUCAGUUCCUAUGCACUUGCUGCCCUGCCCAAAUGUGCAGGAAUUCACUAAGCUUCUCUGCCAUGGCCACAUGAAAUCCUUUACACCUGUGCCAUCAUGUAGUACCACAAAUUCUCUUGCUGAAAAACACAUGAUAUGUUCUUCCUUUAGACAGAAAGGGACAGGAGAAUGCUGCCUUAUUUCUAGGAAUGUUUGUGUUUGAAUCUUUGUUUGCUAGCCAAAUCAAUACAAUCCUCUUUGUUAAGCUAAGUUAACAUUCUCCUUGAGAAAGCGCUAUUGCUUUUUGAGAUGAGUCCUCAGAAAUGCAGCAAAGACUGUGAUUGUGUAGUAACAUUCAGCAUUUUUAUCCACUAUGUCUGCAUUUGCAAUUCCUGAAAUCACUGAAUAUUUACCUGGAUGGGCUAAUCCUGAGAGUAUAGACAAGAUUCACCAGAGGAGAGACUGUCUUUGGUGUCUACUUAUAUAAAAACAUUUUCUUCCUGCCAUCCUUCCCCUCCUCCCCACCAAAACCUACAGCUCUUGAAGCUUUGUGUGUGUUUCAGUGCUGCUCACUUUGUUUUGCCUGCUUCAAAAGGUCAGGAUGUGACUGUGGCUGACUUGCAAAUCCUUUGCAUGUUUUCUGCAAAGAGUGUAGUCAGGCAAUUGGUACUCAGUUUUACUAGCACUGGUCUGCAGGAUUGUUCUCAGCUGGGUCAGAAGCAAUUGGGCCAGUCUUUGUAUUACAGUGGACUGUAGCAGAGAAGACAAAGAGCUUUUAAUUAAUGGCCAUGGGAAAGCUUGAUGUUUGACCAACGUCUAAGCCAUAUCUGAUAUAAACCUUCAAUUUUAAGGUAGUUUUGAGAGGUCCUUUCUGUAGUAAAAUAAAGCAACCUUUUGUCACUGAUUCUUUCUUUGAAAUAGACUUUGGAAGUGCAUAGAUAGAGGUGGAAGGGUUCUGGUUGACAUACAGGGCUCUGCAGAGAAUUUGAACAUUGUGGGUCCAUGAAUAUCAAUAUCAGCAGGACAGCUCUAUCCAAAUCUCUUGGGUUUGAACGCUAUCUUGAUCUAUAGUGUAUUAAUACAACAGCUCUAAGGAAGGAAAACAGUGGUGUUCUAGAGAGGUGAAUUAAGGCAGUGUAAGGGAAGCUAUGUAGCUUGUUAUAUUCUGAUCCAAAAUUAAGGAUACUCUUCAUGACUUUUGUAUCUAGCUAAUUGGCGAUAACCAGCAAGCCAAGAACAACAGCGGUGUCUGCUCACAUAUGGAUGCAUGUGCUCGUCUGUACUUGCAAUUCCUGUAACUGGGGCUGCCAGCCAUUCUGAUGCCUUGCAGCUAAGAAUUUAUGAUACCAUAUGAAAUCUAAUGAAAUUCCUUCAUGACAGCAUGUUAUGGCAUGUGCCUGUGUCACAGAGAUACAAAAAGACAGGACAUUCACCAGGAUGCACAAUUUCAGGAAAUAUUUCAUGAAAAUAUGAUUGUCCUUCAUAGUAUUCUGUAUCUAUUGGCAGAUUGAUAUGGAAUCAGGUGGUAAUAUUAUUGGGUCCUGUGGCAACAGUAAAGAAAAGGAACAGCUACGGGACUUGUCAGUAAUGACUAUGAUGACUUAAAAUAGAAGCUCAGCCCACAUGCAGAAUCUGUGGACACAGAAAUAAAGGAAAAAAAGUUAUUUACCUUUGGAAGUCCUCAGGUGAGCAGGGAUCUCCAGCAAGAAAUGCCUUUACCUCCACUGCCAACCCUUAAGUGAGGUUUGGGAAGAGGUGGCUCCUGGCUCCAUCCCUUCCAGUCACCCAGGUACACUGCAUGCACCUGAGCUCCCCUGGGGUGGCCCUGCCUUCCCACCAGGUGCUCAAUCCCUUGUUCAGGCCAUGACUUAGCAUUUCUGCUAUAUAUGUUAACAAUAUAUAAACAGGAGUUUACAAUAUAUAAACAGUAUAAACAGGAGGAGGUAUGUCUGAUUACAAGGGUGGAUAGUGUUAGGACAAAGGGGAUUGUUUUAAACUAAGACAGGGGAGGUUUAGGUUAGGUAUUAGGAGGAGGUUUUUCACACAGAGGGUAGUGACAUACUGGAGCCUGAGGAGGUUGUAGAUGCCCCAUCCCUGGAGGUAUUCAAGGCUCUGGGCUCUCUGGCUCUGGGUUGCUUGGUCUAGUGGUUGGCAAUCCUGCACAUAGCAUUGGGUUGAAACUAGAUGAUCAUUAUGGUCCUUUUCAACCCAGGCCAUUCUAUGAUUUUAUGAAUAUUCUCUUUGCUAGCUCUCUCUAUGGGAAAUGGAGUAGAGAAUUGGAAAAAUAACUGUAUAAAGAACUUAUGGGUUGAGAUAAAGACAGCACAGCAAAUAAAGCAAAAGCUGUGUGCGCAAGCAGAGCAAAGCCAGGAAUUCAGUUGUACUUUUCCAUUGGAAGGCAGAUGUCCAGCCUCACCCAGGAGAACAGGAACCAUCAUGCAGUGUUUUUUUGGAAUGACAAAUGCUGACAUUUCAAAUGUUCCCCCUCCUCCUUCUUUGCCCCAGCUUUUAUUGUUGAGUACAAUGCCAUGUGGUAUGGGACAUCCCUAUGGCCAGUCUGGGUCAGCUGUCCUGUCUGUGUUCCCUCCCAACUACUUGUGGUCUUCAUCCCCUCUCUGGCAGGGCAGCACAAGCAGCAGAAAAGUCCUUGGAUCUGUACAGCACUGCUCAGCAACAACUAUAACAUCAGUGUGCUGUCACCACUAUUUUGAUCAAAAAUCCAAAAUGUCAUGGCAUGAGCCUCUGCUAAGUAAAUUAACUUUAUCCCUGCCAAGCCAUGACAUGGUUAAUUAGGUGAAGACCAGGCACUAAUAAUUUUGGUUUUAUCUCCUGGAGUGUCAGUUUAUAUUGCUGGAUGUAUUGAGGAUUUCCACAAGUAUAGAUGACUAGUUACAAAUCGAAAUAAGAAACUGAAAAUUUCUACUGCUUUUAAGGACUGAUCCAGGAUGAGUGGAAAAAGCAUCCAUAACUUAAAGAACAUAUUCAACUAAUUUGUAACAAAAAAUAAUGUGAGGAUUCACUCAGCUGUAGAAAAUGGAUUCCAUUAUGUAUUGAUCACCACAUAUUUGGUUCCUGUUACUUUAAUACUAUUUUUAUACCUUUUUAAAAAGAAAAUAGUCCAUUGUUUCAUAACACUAUGUAGAGAAGAUUUAUGUAUGGUUAUAAAGUUGGCUGUGGAAAUUAUAUCACUUGAAAUGUUUUUUUCAGAGGAAAAUCACAUCAGGCUGGCAAACCUGUCUGCACUGGGUAAUGAAGAAUUAGGGCUUGGUUUUUGGGUUUUCUAUUAAACUAAAAUUUAUAUUAUUAUUGCUCCUUAGAUGAUAAUUCUGGGUCACUGCUGAACUAUUCCUUCAGGCAGAACUCCCAAGAGUACUUUAUUUCUUGUAGUAUUAAGCAAGCAGGAGCCAAGUGAAUUUUAAAUCUGUAGAGUGUCAAAAGUGAGAAACUAGAUUAAGUUUCGGAUGCAGAUGCAAGGGAGAAUAGUCACACAUUUUAAAAAUUCAAGAGCAUUACAUUCUCAAAUAUACACAUGAUUUGUCUUAGAGCAGUAGCUAGACAUAUCAAAGGAUCUUUACUAGUUAGACUUGCGAUGUGAUAAAAUGUAGGUGGUAUCAUUCAAGUUAGGUUUAAGAUUUUGAGUGUUGACAGAACACAGGAGUUGAGGACUAGUUUUCUUUGAGAUUUUUACAAGGGUAAGACCCACGUUCUUCUGAGAAAUAGACUUUCUUGUCAGUUUUCAUUCUCUUUUCAUUCUACGUUUUCCCUCUUCAUGGAAGAUUUAAUUUGAUCACAUUAGUGUUCUACUGUUCUCUAAUCAUGAGUAGAGUUACUGGCUGUUUUACAGUUUGGUGAAAUUCAAACAAUUAUAUUCUGUAAAUUGUGCGUGUUAGUAGAAAGCCAAGAGCAAAGCAGCUCAGGGCAAUUAAAAGCAUAACAAACUGUGAAUUUAUACCACUUCUAGCUAGCAAAGCAGAAUUUGCUCUCAGGUUUGUUUCACAGAAAAAAAAAAAAGAGUAAAAUAGCACAUUUGGCUGACGGUUAAAUGAUUUUAGCAGGCUUAGAAAGACAUAGACCCUUCACUUUGUUACUGAAAGCUGGCAGAAAACUGAAGACUAAUUCCAUUUUGAAAUAAAUAUUUUGGAUCACAGUGAAACCAUGCUGCUAAUAUUAGCCAAGCUGGCAAAUUAACAGGAACUCCAUGUUUCAUUGUUUUUACUUUUGUAUUCCACCAAUGGACUUUAAAAUAUUGGAAAUGAGCCAAAAUCAAGGACUAAUUUCCAUUUAGUGGUAUAAUGAAGUAAUGAACAUGCUUUGAUUCAGAAUAAAAGCUUUUUCCCCUCCAAACUAAAAGUACUUCUAUAUCUGUCUGUAGCUUCAAUGUUCACACAAAAAUAGCUGGUAGCUGCAACAUUGUGUUAAAACAAAACAAAUAAACAAAUGCCAAAAAGAUAAAUUUAGCUCACUCGCUACUUCCUGAAGCAACUAAUCUUUAGUGCUCAAAAUCUUCAGAGUGUGUAGCUAAGCAAAACAAAAUUCUCUAUUCAGAUCAGACAGAAAUCUUUGCCUUGAUUUGUUCCACAACCAAGUUUAAACCAAUAUAAAUGAGGGCACUUUCUGCAAUGCCUAUACUCAUCUCUACUGUCUCCUUUACUACUCCCACACAACUACUUGCAGUGUUUCCUACACGGUAUUAUACAGUACCUAUCAGUCAAAUUAACAUUUUGUUUAAUGUGGAAAGUGCAAAAUACAUAGGAAGAAGCUUUUCUCCUGAAGUCUUAAAAUAGUGGGCUAAAUCCUGCACCCAGUGACCCUGCAUGAGCAAUAUUCAUAUGGUGCCCCCAAGAAUAACCUGGUUAUGUCUUUGAUCAAGACCAAAGAGGGAAUUAACUGGAAGAAUGGAAUAAGUCUUGAUAAGACUUGAGGAUCGGUUAAUUAUUCUUUAUGUAAUACCAUCUCUAAAGUUAUUAUAAGUUGCAGAUUUUUACCUCUAAGAUACAAAUUUUAAGAAAGGAAUCCCAGAAAGUGUUUAAAAUCUUCACAAAUUAAAGCAUCUAAUCCUGGAGCUUUUAAAUAUAUAAUGGCUUCUUUAAUCUAAUCAUUUUCAACAGCUAAUUCUAAAGCAGUAAUUAAAUAUUUAGACAAACUUCAGUCCUUAGCUAAAUGCAAGAACUGCUUACAAACAACUCAUCCUUAUAGCACUAUACUAAAGAUUUACAGAGUAUUACAACAGUAGUCUGAGAACUGUUUUUUGUUUGUUUGAUCAUUGUUUGUAUCACCAUACAACUUCAUUGGACUUCUGGAAAAGCUAGAUACUCGUUCCUGGCCAUACUUAAGCCUCCACAGUUCACUGAAAGCAUGGAUUAAUGACUUAUCUACGGACUCUAAACUAUCUUAAAGGGCGCCCACGUGGUUUGAGAAACUCCACAGUUUGGAAAGGCAAGAGUCAUUACAGUCAGGAAUGUACUUCGCAUUGCUGAGUGACCUCUCUGAAGUGGGCCAUGAAGGAAAUUGCUGAAUUUCAAGGAGAAAUAUCUGUCAUCUGCUUGCAGAAUGCACCCUGCUAAAACCAAAAGACACGAAUGGAGAAAAG